rnacentral:tRNA from 1 species
GGGGUUGUGGCUCAGUGGUAGAGCCCUCACCUAGCAUGUGUGAGGCCCUAGCUUCGAUCCUCAACACCA